rnacentral:rRNA from 1 species
UACGUAGGUGGCAAGCGUUGUCCGGAAUUAUUGGGCGUAAAGCGCGCGCAGGCGGUUCCUUAAGUCUGAUGUGAAAGCCCCCGGCUCAACCGGGGAGGGUCAUUGGAAAAUGGGGAACUUGAGUACUGAAGAGGAAAGCGGAAUUCCACGUGUAGCGGUGAAAUGCGUAGAGAUGUGGAGGAACACCAGUGGCGAAGGCGGCUUUCUGGUCAGUAACUGACGCUGAGGCGCGAAAGCGUGGGGAGCAAACAGG